CGGGCCUCUGAAGAUUGAACACGUGUGUGUGUGCGCUGGGAGGCUGACCCUCUGUCUCCACACCAUGAGCAAGGAAGAAAAAGCCAGAAUCUAUCUGGAGCACCUGGUCAAAAUAGGGCAUGCAGCAGAGAUUUUCUAAGUCCUUCUUACAACUUGUUGCUGACCAUAUAAAGAUGGGUAAGAAAACCUGGCUAUAAUACAUCUGGACCCUUCAAGCAAGUCAACAAUAUGGAUUAAACAUAGUUGAGGCACCACUACUGAUCCUGGUGACAUUUCACUGGUUACCAUUUGCCAGUUGGAAAUAACCCACUUAUCCCAACUUUGGUUUCUGUUAAUUAGUCAAUCUUCUAUCCAUCCAAAUACAUGGUCAAAACCAUAAUCUCUAGGAAUUUAACCUCCAGUGUUAAUAACUCAUGUUACAACCCUGCUUUGAAGAAGCUAACAUUUAUAUUGCCCUUAUUUCUAUAACGUUUUUGUGGAAAACUGAUCGAAAAGACCUGUAAGUAGCACUUUGUGAAGAUUCAUAACUGAG